rnacentral:rRNA from 1 species
UACGUAGGGGGCAAGCGUUAUCCGGAUUUACUGGGUGUAAAGGGAGCGCAGGCGGUUGCUUAGGUCUGAUGUGAAAGCCUUCGGCUUAACCGAAGAAGUGCAUCGGAAACCGGGCCACUUGAGUGCAGAAGAGGACAGUGGAACUCCAUGUGUAGCGGUGGAAUGCGUAGAUAUAUGGAAGAACACCAGUGGCGAAGGCGGCUGUCUGGUCUGCAACUGACGCUGAGGCUCGAAAGCAUGGGUAGCGAACAGG